GUAGGUGAACCUGCGGAAGGAUCAUUAACAAAUCAAUGGUGGUGGAAGCAGGCCGCAAGGUCUUGCCUUCCCCAUAUCUACCCGAACCGGGCUUCGGCCUGGUAAGGUGUGUCGGGAGAGAGCUCAGCAAUGGGUGUAUCUCCUGGCGCGGUGACGAUUGGCGUAUGCUAGUCAGAUCCACAUAGACGCUUGUAUUGUUUGACAGAUUUAGUUGACACUUUAAAAAUGACAACUUUUAACAAUGGAUCUC
rnacentral:misc_RNA from 1 species